rnacentral:misc_RNA from 1 species
GUCCUGUUUUCCAUCUUAUUUUUCUACCUAUUAGCAUGUGAUUUCGCGCAGACUGUUUGAAAAUUUUGUUUCCCCAGACAAAUGAACAAAACUAAGGGGCCUAAUGCAUUCGCCAAGAUCAAAAAUGAAACCCCCCAAAAAUAAAUUUCUAUGUCCAGAAUUGCAUAGAGUAUAUUUCAUUUACAGAUUUACUAAUGUGAUGAGGAAGGAUGCACAUACUGUACACAGGAGCAGCAUAUGCAAAAACUUAACAUCUCUCUCUUGCAACUACGCUGUCAG